CCUGCGAAAGCCUGGGAGGACGUUUGCUAGAACUUAAAAACCGCCAGGGAGCUGGCGGGGAGGGGAACAUUCCUAGAGAGAGUUUUAAAUUGGGGGUUUUCAGGCUAAUACCAGUACCGCCCUGUCUUACUCGCUCACGUCCCAAUGAAGUUUUAGGCUGGGUUUGGGCAGUAAUGACAAGUAGACAUCUCCCCGGCCAAAUUCAUAUUAUUUGGGGCCUUACGCUUCCUUCGCCCCGAACACAAACGUGGAGUUCUCUGCUUGGAGCACCUGUGCUGUCACUCACAGAAUAACUCAGGGCAUGCAAAGUUCUGAAGACUGGAAAUCCAAGAUCAAGAGCCAGCAGAUUUGGUGUUUGAGUCAAAGCCAAGAAGUCAAGAAAGGUGGCCAUCUCACGGAGAUUGUCUUAGAGGGCCAGCAGCCUUCACAGCACCAACUCCACGCCUCAGUACUGGUCAACAUUAAUGAGUGAUGCUCUUUCCAGGCACUGCUCCAACCGCGUACGUAAUCCUCACAGCAUCCCGUUGAGACAGGUACCAUUGUUGAUCCCAUGUCACAGAUGGACAAACUGAGGUCCAAGGUGGUUAAAUACUUGACCCAGGAUCACCCAGCUAGGAAAUGACAGUCUUGAUUUAAACACAAACAGUUCUAUGCUCUUAUCCAUCAGUCUAUAUGGCAUCUCAAUUGUUUUCAACUUUAUUGUAAAUAAAAUUUACCUUGAAGCACUGGGUUCUUCUGACAUAGUUGCUUUGAAGUUGGUCUUCAGAUCUUGUAUUUUUAAUUUAAUUUUAUUUUUUUGGAAAGAGAGAGAGAAAGAGAGAGGGAGAGAGAGAGAGAGAGAGAGAGACAGAGUGGAGGGGGAAGGAGAGAGAAAGAAUCUUAAGCAGGCUCCACCCCCAGCUCUGAUCCCACCAUUCUGGGGUCAUGAUCUGAGCUGAAAUCAAGAGUUGGACGCUUGCUCAACCAACUGAGCCACCCAGGCUCCCCUGAAGUUGGUCUUCAAAUGAGCCCUGGAAUUCACAUUGUCAGCUGGUAGCUUAAGCAUUUGCCACUAGUUUGACUUCUUUCCAAUUUACCCCUCCCGCGAAUCUGAUCAUACCUCUCCCCUGCUUGAAUUUUUUCCAUGUCUCUCCUCAGCAUUAACACUCAAGUUCAACCCUUUUAGUUUAGCAUACAAGGCUCUUCAGACUCUGGCCCCAGCCUUGCCCUUUUUGUGUCACAGCCAUCCAUUCUCCUCAACCCUUUCUUUACUUCCAUGGUAUGGGCCUUCUUCCAAAACCAUGUACAAUGGCCUUCCACACCUCCAUGCCUUAAUACUUGCUGCUUUCUCUGCCCAGAAAUGAUCAGCCUGUCUUCUUCAUCUAGGUAACUCCUACCCAUUUUUCAAAAUUCUGAAAGUUCACUUUACACCUUCACUCAGUAUUGAUUUAGAAGCCUCUCCUCUGCUCUUCUGUAACAGCCCAUGCUUUCUUGUGUCUCGGAGCUAACGGCACUACCGUGUAACCUUCAGUGUAUUCAGAUAUCCCCUCCAUUAACAGUCUCAAUAAUAAUAAUAACGGUCACUUAAGGAGCAUUCUAAGCGAUGGCAUCCCUUAGGUCCUAUUGCCAAUCCAACUCCAAAAGGCACCUAUCGUCAGCUGCAUUUUAAGGUUGAAGAGAGUGAAGUUUAGAGAGUGAGGUAGUAAGUCUGUGGUCCUACCAUUUUAAUGGUGGCAUCACACUCACAUCUGGCUCCGUUAAUGUCUUGUUUGAGUCCAUCUCUCCCGCACCUGUCAUUAGUAGUGACAUUUUCCUGGUUAGAUGGAUGUGGAUAGAUGGAUGGCCUGGGAUGCCAUAAAUCCAGGUUUCGAAAGAAAGAAAAAGAAAGCCAAAUUUGAAGUCAGGAUGAACACUCACGCUUGGGUUCUGCCUCUGCCUCUACCUAGCUGCUAAAAUAGGACAGCUCUCGAAUGAUAAGUAUGUCUAGAGGUGAUUAGUAUGGCAAGUGGACUUCUGGGUAGAGAAAGAACUUGGAACUACAGGCUGCAGAUCAGCGGGGAGGCCAGAAAGAAACUUAACUCACAGGCGGCGUGAACGCUGGUGCAAAUUUUCUUUGCGGCAGAACUAUGUUGUCAUGCAAUCUUUAUCUUAGUUCCCCAGAUGGGGAGAUAGCGCUUUGCUAUCUCUGUGUGCAGCUGUGACCGGGGUUUGUUUGGUCUUAGUGCAAGGGCUUACACAGCACCUACCUUUUUGGUUUGUGUCCAGGGUGGCUGUUUUCUGAAAAUAGAAGGUGAUACUGCCUCUGACUCAGUCCCUUUCACCUCAUGUUCUUUCUGGUACACUCGUCCUAGAGUAUCAACCCAUCUCAGAUUCCUUGCUACAUGACAGAUUUGCAACAUUUGUGGUUAUGUGUGAGUUGUUACUGAGAGAUUUAAACUUUCUUUUAUUAAUCCCUAGAAGCUGAUGUACUGUGAAUCAGAGGAAAUAUAUAUAUUUAUGUUGCUUCCCUAAUGAUAUACGAAGCCAUGGGAUCUCCUUUACUCUGAGUCUUUUGAGUGAGUUAACAGAGUUCAUUAAAGCCACUCCCUUGGGGUCCAUACCAUCUCAGUUGGCAGGGAGAACUUCUGCUUCUGGAUUAACCUUUGUAACUCCCCAUGACUUGCUGACUCCUCUUAAUUCUUCUGCAAGAGCUCUCUCCACCCCCUCUCUUGUAAUAUCAUCGUCCUUUUAAAGUGACUGUUUCAUGAGGGCUUCUGGGCACCCCAUGUAACUGGAAAUGGUCAUGCUGCAAGUUCAGAGCACCUACAGAGACUCCCUCUGUGUUCUGGUCCGUGGGUCCCAGUCUCUAAUUGGCACCUCUGGAGAGAAGCCCCGAGUAGGAUACUGCUUCCCCCUCCCUUCCCUCCCCCCCCAACCCACCUUUCCUAUCCCUAAACCGAGAGAUUUAAAUGGUAAUGGUCACUUUUUAUCUCUUUUUGUAUUUUCAUUGACUGGCUAGGCUCUGAGCAUUUAAUUUCCUAUGACGCAAGCUCUCUUAGUUAUAUGUAACUAAAUCUGUCUAUUUCUCCCUGACUUACUAUCUCAAUCAAUAUAGUAUUGAUUGGAUAACAGCAAAAAAUAUUCUAUUUUAUGCCUCUAAUUCUCUUUCCUCUCUGCCAAGAAAAUCAGGGAUUUGGGGGCAGGUGAGUAUCUCGUCCAUUCAGUGACUUUCUUCCCUUUCCUUUUUUCA